AUAAAUAUUAGCACUGAGGUUGGGCUUAAAGUUAUAAAACACAUGAAAGUUAUGCAAAAGUUCAUUCGGAAUUUCCUUUAAGGUGCACAGAAGCAAGUUCACUGCCAGGAUAUUACGUUGACUGGGUGUUUUAAGAACACUUUUGCAGGUCUUAGACCUGCAUCGUUGAAACAUUUUGACGCAGAACCAAGCUUUAUAUCCUGAGCUAGCUAACUGGAGGACUCUAGUGACUGUACUCGUAAAGAAAAAAGAACAAAAGAUAAAAAUAAGAAAAUGAGACAGAUCCUGACAGCUGUUAUUCUUGUAAGUUUGGUUGCAAUAUGUUCGGCAACAUCGAUUGAUGAGGAGUGGGAAAAUUGGAAGAUUAAGUUUGGAAGAAACUAUGAAAGCCUAGCAGUGGAAGCAUUUCGGCGAAAGAUUUGGGAAAAAAACAGGGAAAUGGUACUGAACCACAAUAAACUAGCUGAUGAAGGAAAAGUAAGCUGGUGGAUGGGCCUGAAUGAUUUUUCUGAUAAGACCAGUGAAGAAUUAAAUAAACCUUGCCUGCUGCCUAGAAGAAAGAAACAAAUACUAAACCAACUGUUACCACAACACUGAAGUGGCUAUACAUUAUCAAGAUGGGGUCUUGGAAUGCUGUGGCAGUAGUUUGCAAUAGAUUCUAGAACUUUCAGCUGGGCCUGCUUCUGGUGAUAUCUAUGACCUGCAUCGCAGCAGCAGCAACUCUAGCUUUCUGCUUUCACACUAACAUAAUCUCUUAUUUGAUUAUAGACAUGCAUUUGUAUAACUGUUAUAAAAUUAGAUCUGUACUCACAGUUUAUGUUCUAGAAUUACUAAUACAAUGGAAUACUAAAAUAGGACAUUUUUUGCUCCUUAUAAUAAUGCAGGUUUUAAAAGAAAUUAUUAUUUUUUUAAUUUUGGUUUUCAUCUUAUUAUUUAAACUAUUAAAUUUACUGAAAUUUAUAUUUUUUCAUUAAUGAAACAAAUCAGUAAAGUGUAAACUGAAACUAAACAAACACACUUCUGAAGACAAUUAUAGGCAUUUUUAUUCAUUUGUUGAUCGGGCAAAACCAGUCCUUUUCACAUGUGACUGAGGAGCACUAAAAAGUGACUCAGUAAACGGAUGCCGACUCCGAUAAUCAAACAGUGAACUGAAGAAUGAAGCUUACUACCAGCUCAAAAAUGUAAUCCUCUGUACUAAACUGACAGACAGUUGUCAGCCUUCAGCUACAUGCUUGCUUAGCUCCAUUGGGAACAUACUAGAAUUCUUUAAAACAUAUUCUGUAAUUACAGAUUAUUUAAUUGAUUUACAUAUCUGCAGAUAUUUAUACUUUUUUAUUAAAAUAUUUAGUCAAGCAA